AGCAUUUAUUAGUACUUUUUUAUUCUAACAUAUUCAUCAAAUCGUUGCAUGCUGAUUGUCGGGUUUGUCAAUUCCAUUGAACUAUUUUUUUGCACUCACCAAUUCCUGUUAUCGAGGAACAAAAUAAUUGCAUUGAACAAAAGCAUUUGGGUGGAUAGCAGACACAAAAUAUUCGCAAAUACAAGUUUUUGCUCUUUAUAAAAUUCUGCAUCGUUAAAGAAAAUUCGUUGUAUGCUCUUCAAAAAAUGUAUCCACACGUUCAAUAUUUCAUGUGUGAAACGAAAAUGUGUCAAUUCGACAAUCUCGGACGUACGAGCAUACGAAGGAUAAAAAUGCUCACAGUUUAGCAAAUUAUCGACUUUCCUGUGCACCAAAGAUCUCUCAAAGAUUUCGAUCGACGAUGUAAGAAUCGAAGAUCGAUAAAGUGUGUAGUAUUUUUUCGUUAUUUAAAAAAAUGGUAAUUAUGCAGCUUGAUUACUUUUCCGAAAAUCGAUGCUGCGAAUUUUUUUUUAGCAUGAAUUGCUUCAAUUAGUCACUAUUAAUGAAAUUCCAUCGGGAGAGGCUGACACCCUUAAAAACCACAAGUUAUUGGGUUUUCAAGUUAUUGGAAAAAAGGAAUAAAAUACGGUAUAUUUGAAUAUUUUGGAGUUCAUGAUAGGACAAGUGGACACACACACAUACACACACGCGGGCGCGCGCGCGCAAGCACGCAUUGAAAGUGCUCUGAACCCACCCAACGAUCCCGUACACACAUCGAAAAUGCUCUGAAUUGCACUGCGUUAAUACAUGUGGCCUUGAAAAAGACCGUUGUAUUUGAAAGGGCCAUUCAUGAUGAUGAUUAUGACGACGACUGUGGUAAUUCAGCUGACGAUGAUGAUUUCGUGCACGAAAUCAUUUCAAAAAAUGCGUGAAAUCGAUCACGAUGGUCUGGAAAUUGCCGUUUAAAAUAAAACUCGGCAAUAUAUCCGUCCAUGUGAUAUUCACGCCGACCAUAUCGUGGGACGUUUGCUCGGACUUCCCUCCACGUGCACUCUAUAUUUUGGGUAUGAGCGCCAGUGUCGGGGUCAACAAAAUUUAUAACAUCGUCGCGAUCCUGUCUGGAACAGCAACAAUCAAUACCUUCCGUGAUUCACGUUCGAAUCCAUCGAAAAUCCACUGGCCAUUUAUGAUUCGACCACGGUUGUGUUUUCGCUUGCCGAAUUUUACCGCAUCGAUUUCAACCGUGAUGCCUGCUCCACCGAUCUUUUCGGAAUUGUCGAUAUAAUAUAUCAGUAAAGCCUCCCGAAUAAAAUUCGACCAGUCAACAACAGUGUGACUGUCCAUAUUUAUUUCUCUUUCGAGAAAUUCUUGUCGGGGGGAUUUUAAUGAUAGAAAAUAACCGAUAAAGACGCAGGCUUCCUCCAGAGAAAGAGUGAUAUUCUCAAACCGAACUCAUUAACUCGAAUUGAUCGAAAAAAUGCGCACUUGGUAAUAAACACCUUUUUACCUUUCGAAACUUUUCGUUUCUUUUGACAUCGCCAAACUUAAGUUUCGGCGUUCCACGUAGCCAAAUUACUACAAUUCGAGCACCUCAUAUCACGAAACACUGCACCAUGUGCUUGUAAAAACUAUAAUAAUUGUUCGGAAUCCUCGCACAACCGAUGAAAUUGACGUAAUCCGUAGGAGCAAUUAACGCAAUUCAUUUUCAAGCUACGUGUAAUAAUGUUCACGACAGAACGAAAACUGAGGUCAGUCAUCUAUUCAAAAAAUAUUCGUGUAAGGAAAGACUGAUGUGAGCGCCAAAAUCAAUACAAACUUUAUCAUUCGAUAAUUGUUUGUUACCUUCUUUUCAUUCAACACCACCAUAGCACGCUUCCGAAAACAAACAAAGCGCGCAUGUGUGUGUGUAUCCACCUGUCCUGUUGUAAACUCUAAAAUAUUUAAAUAUUCUCUAUUUCAUCAUAUUUUUCCAAUAACUUCAAAAUCCCAUAACUUAUGGUUUUUAUGGGAAAUGUUAGCCUCCCCCGACGGAAUAUCACUUAUUAUAUUCCGAUCAACAACUUCGAAAAAAAAAAAUGUUGCAUCGACUUUCGGAAAAGUAACUAAACUGCAUAAUUACCAUUUACGAAUGUUUUAUGGACAUGUUUACGAACGAAUAUUGAAAUUGCGAGAAAUUUUGGUAAUGAAUGAUUCAAAAGACAUUUGGAAAAGCAUUAGACCUCUUGAAAUUUCGAGAUCAUCAUUUUUCGAUAAAAUUAAACACUCUUCAUUUAUUGUUUCAACGAGGAAGUUAUGCGAAAAAUCAUCGAGCAAAAUUAUUCGUCAAAUAAAAUGAGUUUGUUAAUUUU